UUCCCUGGAACUGGAGCUACUGAUGGUUGUUAACCAUCACGUUGGUGCUGGGAAUCAAACCCACGACCUCUGCAGGAGCACAUGAUCUUAACAGACACAGCUGCUUUCCAGGAAUUCUUGUUCACACACCAUGUAUUAAAGCUGUGGUGCCCAGCUUACUGCUUUUUGAAGAGGAUGUAAACUAUAAGAGAGGCCGGGAUAGCUGUGGGCAGUGAACAUGACUGCUGGUGACUGUGUGAGUUGAUACUAUAAUUCACAGGACUGUCACCCUUACUUUCACCUUUAACUACGACCCCACUACUUCAACUCUUCAACUUUCACAGUGGUGUGAAGAAGUGCUCUCUUGUGAUCAUGAUACUCUACCCAAGCACGUCAUGCUACAGGAAGGACUCUGCCUGCCUGCGAACUCAGCAAGACUUCUCCUGCCAAAUCCCCUCAUGGUGUUACUUCUUCCUCGUUAACCUACCAGGGCAAUUUUACAUUGACUUAUGAGCUUCCCUGGUGGAUAACAGCAUUUCCCACCAGAAUCCAGGCUUAAUGAGGAGGGGACCAUGUUCAAUUUUACCCAUGGAGAGACUUAUGGUGCCGAUCACCAUGCUGAGCACAUAUUAACACUUAAUAAAAAAAUAUUCCCAGUGAAUAAUAAAAGUCAAAUUAUCAAU